UACGUAGGGGGCUAGCGUUGUCCGGAUUUAUUGGGCGUAAAGAGCGUGUAGGCGGCCAGGUAGGUCCGCUGUGAAAGUCCGAGGCUCAACCUCGGAAUGUCGGCGGAAACCCUCUGGCUAGAGUCCGGAAGAGGAGAGUGGAAUUCCCGGCGUAGCGGUGAAAUGCGCAGAUAUCGGGAAGAACACCCGUGGCGAAGGCGGGUCUCUGGACAGUUCCUGACGCUGAGGCACGAAGGUCAGGGGAGCAAACGGG
rnacentral:rRNA from 1 species